GGUCAUGGGUAGAGUAAUGUAAUAGCUUUGGAAUGUAUUUCUAGUUGGUCAGGUGUGUCUCUAUUCGCACUCCUUGCUUCUUGCCCCAAGGCUUUGCACUGUUUUCUUCCCUGGUGCAUUCACGUUCCAGUGUUGCUUGCUUUGCUGCUUUUUUGACUGUCUCCUGAUAGUACAAAGUUGGGAUAUUUUCAAUAUAAGUAUAUGUACUAUGUAUAUAUAAAUAAAUAAUCCUCCACUUAACCCUUCACCAUGCUUUGUGAUGACAAAGACAGCUUGGGCCAGUAGUGUGACCAUAAUUUUGAGAACUAGGAAUAGCUAGUUGUGGUCUGAAAGAAUGCUGUGAUUUAUAAGCUGUUUAAUUUUAUUUUUGAGAUCUCCUUUUUCCCUAGCUGAAAUUGGUUUUUAGAGGAAGAGGAGAAACUUGCUGUUCUCAGUGCUUAUAAACACUUCUGAAUAUUUAUAUUUCCCUUUAAUAUUUCCCUAAUUAAACAUUAGCUUUCACUUAACUUACACAUUGAGAAUCCUGAGUGAUGAAGUUUGGGAUUGGAAAAUUCUCCUUCCCCACAUGGCUUUUUUUUUCAACUUGAUACAAUCUCUAAUCUGACCUAUGCAUGAUCUGUUUUUUUUUAUUGGCUUAAAGAUUAUUUAUCAGUGUUACUUCUGAAUGAGUAAAUGAUGUGAAAAACAUGAAACUGCCUUACACUGGUGUUGUUAGCUGUUUAUUCAGUCUGGUUGAGUACUGAUUAUACUUAUGGGCAUGAUCUCCGUGAGACAGACAGAUUUCAAUAGGUGAUGCUUGAAAUUGAGCUCAAGCUUCCAUUCCAUGCAAAAUAUGUUGCUGUUAAGCUACAUGCUUCCCAAUAUAAUUUGUGUGUUGCUUUGCUUAUACCAAGUUCUGAAUAUUUUUUGUACUAUAUACUUUGAGGGAACUUCUAAAACUCAAAGGUAGAUGAAGCUAUCCUGCAUCUAUGCAUCUAGACUUAAUACUGAUAUAGAAUCAGAACCUUCCCCAAGUUUGGUAUUUUACAAUUGGUAAAUUGUACAAUUGAUAUUCAACAUCUAAAAAUAUUGGAUUGUUUAUAUUCCUUUUUAAAUGAUUGCUAACUGUAAGCAAAGCUUGAUGGAAAAAAAAUGUCAAAAUUAGUUCUUAGCAGAAUUCUGAGUAAUGAUAACGUAUUUUCAGUAUCGUGUAUUAUUUUAGGGAGGGUGCACAAGGUUUCAAAUUUAAAAUAUUUUAAGUAUGAAACAAUUCUGACCAUUCCAGAGGUAUUUUGAAAUCAGUGUGAGCUCUUUGAUACUCAAGAUUUAUCUGAAUGGUUUCAAUUUGAAUGGUUUCGAGCUCAAAAUAAUUCUUGAAAAAAUCAUUUUAAAGUUGAAACAACUCUUGUGAACCUGAAACUCGGUGUUUCAAACCCCUGUUCAUUAUAAUUAUGUGCAAUUGUUCUUAAUUUGUAUAACUUAAAAUCCUGCAAGCUCUAGAUUGGUUUUUUGUGAAAUUUCAUUCAUACAUACGUAUAAGUGUUCUAUGAAUGCAUAUGUACAUAUACAUGCACAUAAGAUCAUUGAAAUGCAUAAGGCCUAGUUGUUAAGGAAAAAUAAUUGCUGAAUAAAACCAAUGCUAUCUCAGUUAGUGAAACAUGAAAAUGUAAUAGUUAUGAUAUUAGGAAAGCUAAAUUUCUCUCGAGAUUGACAGAUGUAACAUAUAGCAUCUUCAUUAUCAGUCCUGCAGAAAGUUUUAGUGAUGGCAAUUGUUCAUUUAAGUACAAAAAUUCUAGUGCUCAGAUAAAUCCUUUGGGAUUUACCUGGUUGCACUCUUUGUUCUUCAGUAGGGUAGAUAAUUUUUCCCUGUAUGUAAUUUUUUCUAAAUAUCACAGUUAAAAUGUUGACAAGGAAGACACAUGCCCCAGAGAUAUCUGGUUCCUGAAUCUGGUAAUUUUCUAAUGAGUGGCCCUUUUCUGGCACUUGCCUCAUUAGGGCUGCCGAGAACAUCUGAAUAGGCAUCACAUUCUUUGCUUGUGAAGAUGGAAGACAGCUGCAGUGCAGUUUUACUUACAGUACUUACCAGAAAAAGUACUUUAGGAGAAAGAGACCACAUCUAGUAUUAUAUGAAUAGGCAAGGCAGAGAAGUAGGAGGAAACAAAGGAGUAUACAGUUUUUUAAAAUGAAUUUAAUUUUUGCAGUGGACAGUAAAUUAUUGUUUAGAGGUGAAGCUGCUUGGGAGAUUAUUGUAAAUGUUUCUUAUGAUUGAAUUCAUUCAGAUCAUUUAGAGUCAUGAAAAACCUGGUUCCUGGUUUAUAUAGCACUUAAAAAUAUUGUAAGCACAUAAUUUAAACUCUGUAUUAUCAUAUUGGCAAACAUUUUGUGCCAUGUUAAAGGAUUCCCCUUUAUCUAAGAAUGCUUCCCCAUUCCCUAGUGAUUGAUUGUGUCUGUCAAAUAAUUAACUGUUCCUACUUAUAGGAAUGACUUGUAGCAGCGAGUAUUUAUUAUUCAGAAGACAAUAAGAGAGCCUGAUAAGAUUCUUUAAUUUUGCAGCAUUUGGAAAUAGUUAUAUGUAUUUACUUGUUUUGUUAUAGUUUAAGGCACUUCAACAGAUAGGAAAUUUUCCAUGUUUCAUAUUUCAUUGUCAGAAAAGCACUCCCUGGUUCUGCUGCAUUAUCACUGAUCUACCAAGCCACUAUUACAAUUAUCUGUAUCUGUUCUUGCAGGCUGCAGUUAGUAAUGGGAGACAGUCCUGUGGUGUUUAUAGGACCUUAUCAGCAAUAAGGUAGCUAACUAAGAAGUUGUUAUAGCUGCAUCACUCCAGUUCAAUUCCAAAAAGGCCUUUUGGAGCAUAUAAGAGCAGGAAUGUAGCACUUCCCCGUAUUUCUUUAAAGCAGCCAUAUCAUCUCAGUGAUGUACUGGUUCUUUAAAGAUCUGUAGAGAGAGAGAUUAUGUUUUCACUCACAUGUUCUCCAAAAUACUUUUUUGAAAAUGAAUCUGAAUAGUGCAAGCUUUAAUAAUUUUAAAUCCAAGAGUUUACAGGACCUGAAAUGCAAAAAAAGCAGGAAUAAAAUGAUGUGAAAAUAUGUAAAUAUUUUCAAGGGGGACAAAGUAAGUACAUCAGAUUUGCUUCAUAAUCUUAGUGGUACCACAUAGAUAUUAAUACAGCUAACAGUAGCUCUAGUGAAGUUCCUGAUGUUUUAUUCCUUCUAAAAUCCUGAAUGCUAUAUUCAAAUUUCACAAUAUAUCAUACUAUUUUUAUUCAAGGAAAAUCUCAUACUUUCACACGAACAAUUACAGGGAGGCAUAGAAUUAGUGCUUAUUCCUUUAUUGCAUACAUUCUCAAGACCAGGUCUCAAUCUUGCCAAAACAGAUGCUCAGGUACAGUGAAAUCUCCAAGAGAAUUAAUGGAUUUGUGGUCCUUAAUAACACAUAAGAGUUUUGUAACUUGUUUGGAAUAUUAAUGUGAGCCUUACAAAUACUCAGAUAUUUGAGUGAAUCUGCAUAAGCUUGGGCAUUUAGUUUUUACAAAGUUGAGACCUUAUGGUGAAGAGUAAGCUAAAGUUUAAAUUUAUUAAGUUCUUAUCUCUUGGCAUACAAAUAGGCUUUAAAAACAAGAGCUAUAUAUCUGGUGACUAUUUUGUAUUAUGAUAAAAAUGCAUUUAAUGAAACAGUUGUACACGAAUUAAAUGUUAUCUAAUACUAUGUUGUCUUAAUUACUUUUUAAAUAUAGUGUUUGCAUUUGCUUGGUUGCUUUUUAAAAUCCAGUGCUCAACUGGCUAAACUGUCUAGAGUGGAUGGCUGGGAAGCAUUACACAGUGGGUGAUUUAAUCACCCAUUGACAUUUUUAUUAGAGAAGGGGGUUGCUUCAAGUUUGCAGUGGGGGGAAGUUAUGCUAAUUAUUCUUGUAUCCUUGUACAUUUGUUCUUUCUGUUGCUCUUGAAUAUUGUAUCAAUGCCAGAACUGGGGAAUUAAGAAGAGAUUACCCCAAUAAAUUGUUACAUUCC